GACGAACGCUGGCGGCGUGCCUAACACAUGCAAGUCGAACGAAGAGCGAUGGAAGCUUGCUUCUAUCAAUCUUAGUGGCGAACGGGUGAGUAACGCGUAAUCAACCUGCCCUUCAGAGGGGGACAACAGUUGGAAACGACUGCUAAUACCGCAUACGAUCUAAUCUCGGCAUCGAGGAUAGAUGAAAGGUGGCCUCUACAUGUAAGCUAUCACUGAAGGAGGGGAUUGCGUCUGAUUAGCUAGUUGGAGGGGUAACGGCCCACCAAGGCGAUGAUCAGUAGCCGGUCUGAGAGGAUGAACGGCCACAUUGGGACUGAGACACGGCCCAGACUCCUAUGGGAGGCAGCAGUGGGGAAUCUUCCGCAAUGGACGAAAGUCUGACGGAGCAACGCCGCGUGAGUGAUGACGGCCUUCGGGUUGUAAAGCUCUGUUAAUCGGGACGAAAGGCCUUCUUGCGAAUAGUGAGAAGGAUUGACGGUACCGGAAGAGAAAGCCACGGCUAACUACGUG
rnacentral:rRNA from 1 species